GACGAACGCUGGCGGCGUGCCUAAUACAUGCAAGUUGAGCGCUGAAGGUUGGUACUUGUACCGACUGGAUGAGCAGCGAACGGGUGAGUAACGCGUGGGGAAUCUGCCUUUGAGCGGGGGACAACAUUUGGAAACGAAUGCUAAUACCGCAUAACAACUUUAAACACAAGUUUUAAGUUUGAAAGAUGCAAUUGCAUCACUCAAAGAUGAUCCCGCGUUGUAUUAGCUAGUUGGUGAGGUAAAGGCUCACCAAGGCGAUGAUACAUAGCCGACCUGCGAGGGUGAUCGGCCACAGUGGGACUGAGACACGGCCCAAACUCCUACGGGAGGCAGCAGUAGGGAAUCUUCGGCAAUGGACGAAAGUCUGACCGAGCAACGCCGCGUGAGUGAAGAAGGUUUUCGGAUCGUAAAACUCUGUUGGUAGAGAAGAACGUUGGUGAGAGUGGAAAGCUCAUCAAGUGACGGUAACUACCCAGAAAGGGACGGCUAACUACGUG
rnacentral:rRNA from 1 species